GACGGAGGGUGCAAGCGUUGCUCGGAAUCACUGGGCGUAAAGGGUGCGUAGGCGGCUUGGUGUGUCUGGCGUGAAAGCCCCGGGCUCAGCCCGGGAAGGGCGCUAGAAACUGCCGAGCUGGAGUGCCGGAGGGGAGAGUGGAAUUCCUGGUGUAGCGGUGAAAUGCGUAGAUAUCAGGAGGAAUACCGGUGGCGAAGGCGGUUCUCUGGGCCGUACCUGACGCUGAGGAGCGAAAGCGUGGGGAGCGAACAGG
rnacentral:rRNA from 1 species